rnacentral:siRNA from 1 species
AAAGUGUGGGACAAAUGAACUGUC